rnacentral:tRNA from 1 species
GCCCGGGUGGUGGAAUUGGUAGACACUGGAGACUUAAAAUCUCCUGCGAGCAAUCGCGUGCCGGUUCGAGUCCGGCCCCGGGCACCA